CUCCUGCAAAUCAGCAGGUGGAAAGUGAGGCGUGAACUGAGUAGCCAAGCAGAUAAAAUAAUCACAAUAUGCAGCGAUAUCCCUCUAAAUUAUGCAGCAUCACCAUGAAUUUGGUCAAUUUUUUAUGAGUGCUGGAGGACUGAUCGCCUCAUUUCCACAUCCAUUCCAUGUUCUGAGGAUCUGGCUUGUCAAAUGCUGUUAGUUUUCUGCAGUUUCUUUCUGAUGGCUUCAUCUAUAUGUCAUAACUCUUCAGCUUUGUUUUCAUCAACUUUGUGAAGUUUCAGACCUUUCGCAAGUUGUGAAAUUUCAGGUGACACACUGCUACAAUGGCACCGGAGGCCCAUUCAGAGCUGGAAUACUCUGCCUCAUUCAUCUUUGCUCAGGGUAUGAUCCAGACAGCUCAACACAAAUAGUGACUCCAGUUCAGACCGCGGAUAGCACUGUGCGAAGUGUGAUAGCGUCUAGAGAUGAGAAGGCACAGCUGACUGUCCUUAUGUCCCCACAAUCACAGGUCCACGCAGAACCUCACCUUUCCCUGGUGACAGAAUUCAGGGCUGGCACCCUUGAGUAGUGCUGCUGGGUCUCAGGGAGUGACUGUCACCUGAGCCGUAUGGCUGAGUAAAGACCAUUGGAGAGUCAGUCACCUGGCCUGCGUCACCGUCCAGUUCUCUCUGCUGUAGGCAGAGUGUGUGAGCAUGAGGGUCUCUCAGGUCAGUGGUAAUUACAUUAUUUUUUCAGAGGAAUUUUCCACAUACAAUCGAAGCUCCUAAUCGAAUUGGUUUGGGGUUAAUCCUGAUGGCAGAUUAACCUGGAGUCUAGCCUCAAACAGGUGAGGCUUUAAAAGAGACUAAGAAGGAGCCAGGGACUGAGGUGGAGCCUUCUGCUGCCCUCACGUGAUGGUGAUGACAUCACAGCUGACUGUACUCUGGGUUCCCGCCUCGUGAGAACCUGAGCAGAGAACCUGCCGACCCCAAUAUGCACUUCAUGAGGUUUUAAAGUCCAGGCACUGUAAGUUCCUGGGCUGUGGUGGUCUUCUAGAAAGUAGUAGAAACCACGUACACUCCCAGCCUGGGGUGUUCUCACCGCUGCCGUUGAACUCCACUGUGCUGGGAGUUCUGUAGAACUCUGUUUAGAAAUUCUCCACCUGUAGAGGCAGCACCAUCCUGCUCCUAAGCUCUUACCAGUAGGGACUGGAAGCCUCUCUCCAUCCAGGCCCCCGCGUUCCUCUACAUAUUAAGGAUGUCACAUGGAACUCUGUGUCUCUCAUCACUGUAUUUAGCUCUCCUGAGGUCAUUUUCCAGGAACUGUGGAGCCCAGUCAGCCUGAUUCUGAAGAACCAGACUCCACUUUGAGUGACAGAAGUCGGUCAGUCCCUUUCCUGUGAGGGGAUUGGGAAGCUCCUCUGCCUGUGUUUCUGUGCUCCCCGGCAGCUUUGCCGAAGCAACAGGAUGCUGACAUUAUCACUCACCUGCUCCAGUAAGGAGUCUCACGUUUCAUGAAAGGAUUUGAGACAUUUCAUCAAGUCCAGUUCAUCAAACCUAAUGACAGUUAAACCAUACAUAUGCAUACCAGUGAAGACUAUUUCUGUUCUGUGAGACUUUAUGUUCAGAUUGGAAAUAAACUUUUAGAUGCAAAGCUAUGUGUUUAGUAUGCAUCUCUAGCAGGGGCACCCUCGGCGUGUGACUGGCAGGAAGCUUCGAUUCUCAGGCCCUAAGGGCUCCUGACAUUUUCAGGAACAGCUCUAGUUUAUUUUCUUUCCAUUCAACACUCUGCUCUAAUAUGAUAGAUGGUUUAUUAUUUUUGUCCAUACUUUCUAAUGAAGUGUCUAAAUAAUUUCUCUGUAUAUUUAAAUUUUCAAAUUCUUGAGAUCUUAUAAAC